rnacentral:rRNA from 1 species
CGGGAGGCAGCAGUGGGGAAUAUUGCACAAUGGGCGAAAGCCUGAUGCAGCGACGCCGCGUGAGGGAUGACGGCCUUCGGGUUGUAAACCUCUUUCAGCAGGGAAGAAGCGAAAGUGACGGUACCUGCAGAAGAAGCGCCGGCUAACUACGUGCCAGCAGCCGCGGUAAUACGUAGGGCGCRAGCGUUGUCCGGAAUUAUUGGGCGUAAAGAGCUCGUAGGCGGCUUGUCRCGUCGGUUGUGAAAGCCCGGGGCUUAACCCCGGGUCUGCAGUCGAUACGGGCAGGCUAGAGUUCGGUAGGGGAGAUCGGAAUUCCUGGUGUAGCGGUGAAAUGCGCAGAUAUCAGGAGGAACACCGGUGGCGAAGGCGGAUCUCUGGGCCGAUACUGACGCUGAGGAGCGAAAGCGUGGGGAGCGAACAGGAUUAGAUACCCUGGUAGUCCACGCCGUAAACGGUGGGCACUAGGUGUGGGCRACAUUCCACGUYGUCCGUGCCGCAGCUAACGCA